rnacentral:rRNA from 1 species
GAUGAACGCUGGCGGCGUGCUUAACACAUGCAAGUCGAACGAUGAAGCCCAGCUUGCUGGGUGGAUUAGUGGCGAACGGGUGAGUAACACGUGAGUAACCUGCCCUUAACUCUGGGAUAAGCCUGGGAAACUGGGUCUAAUACCGGAUAGGAGCGUCCACCGCAUGGUGGGUGUUGGAAAGAUUUAUCGGUUUUGGAUGGACUCGCGGCCUAUCAGCUUGUUGGUGAGGUAAUGGCUCACCAAGGCGACGACGGGUAGCCGGCCUGAGAGGGUGACCGGCCACACUGGGACUGAGACACGGCCCAGACUCGUACGGGAGGCAGCAGUGGGGAAUAGUGCACAAUGGGCGCAAGCCUGAUGCAGCGACGCCGCGUGAGGGAUGACGGCCUUCGGGUUGUAAACCUCUUUCAGUAGGGAAGAAGCGAAAGUGACGGUACCUGCAGAAGAAGCACCGGCUAACUACGUG